rnacentral:rRNA from 1 species
AUUGAACGCUGGCGGCAGGCCUAACACAUGCAAGUCGAGCGGAGCGGCGGACGGGUGGGUAAUGCCUAGGAAUCUGCCUGGUAGUGGGGGAUAACGUCCGGAAACGGGCGCUAAUACCGCAUCCUAUCAGAUGAGCCUGGGUCGGAUUAGCUAUUUGGUGGGGUAAAGGCCUCCCAAGGCGACGAUCCGUAACUGGUCUGAGAGGAUGAUCAGUCACACUGGAACGGAGACACGGUGCAGAAGCCUACGGGCGUCAGCAGUGGGGAAUAUGUGACAAUGGGCGAAAGCCUGAUCCAGCCAUGCCGCGUGUGUGAAGAAGGUCUUCGGAUUUUAAAGCACUUUAAGUUGGGAGGCGUUACCAACAGAAUAAGCACCGGCUAACUUCGUGCCAGCAGCCGCGGUAAUUC